rnacentral:rRNA from 1 species
GAUGAACGCUGGCGGCGUGCCUAAUACAUGCAAGUCGAGCGAACAGACGAGGAGCUUGCUCCUCUGACGUUAGCGGCGGACGGGUGAGUAACACGUGGAUAACCUACCUAUAAGACUGGGAUAACUUCGGGAAACCGGAGCUAAUACCGGAUAAUAUAUUGAACCGCAUGGUUCAAUAGUGAAAGACGGUUUUGCUGUCACUUAUAGAUGGAUCCGCGCCGCAUUAGCUAGUUGGUAAGGUAACGGCUUACCAAGGCAACGAUGCGUAGCCGACCUGAGAGGGUGAUCGGCCACACUGGAACUGAGACACGGUCCAGACUCCUACGGGAGGCAGCAGUAGGGAAUCGUCCGCAAUGGGCGAAAGCCUGACGGAGCAACGCCGCGUGAGUGAUGAAGGUCGUCGGAUCGUAAAACUCUGUUAUUAGGGAAGAACAAAUGUGUAAGUAACUAUGCACGUCUUGACGGUACCUAAUCAGAAAGCCACGGCUAACUACG